rnacentral:lncRNA from 1 species
GAUCUAUCUUCCUUGUAGAGUACGCCAGCCAUUCAUCCCGCUCACUGAGCACUGGGAAGAGCAGUGGGGACGCGCCCCGCUCUCACUGAGCACUGGGGCCUACCUGCCUUUGUCCCUUCCUUCCUCCUGUUAACAUCUCUGCAGCUGUAGUGUAUGCACGCAGCUGCACAUUAUGUGCGGCCAGAGGCCUUCUCUCAGGGCUCACUUGAGAUCCUAGAGAGCAGAUGGAAGGGCUCAAGACGUUCCGAGUUGGACAGACAUGGGAUAGGAACAUUAUCAUCUCGUUUCCUUUUCUCAUCAUCUAUUACUUCAGUACUGGGGCUGUGGAAGAGCAGGUCAGCCCUAGAGGCUCCUGUUGGGCUACUCGGGCUCUGAGAAGCCCACUACUUUUCAAACUCAGCAGUACUCUUGCUGUCUGUGGGAUUUCCCUAACACUGGCCUUCUUGUUUUAAUAGAAGAAAUUAAUUUGGCCAAACAAAUCCUGAUUCCUCUAUUGAAGAGGUAUUUGUUCACGUCCCAAAUAUCAACUCCAGUUAGUUACCUGGGUAAAGCUGCUUCUGCCUUGAUGGCCAGCCAGUGGCUGGGGUGUGCAGCACUUAGUCAUCUCAUUGGCUGCACAUUGCUCUCUGCUCUCUCUGUUAAGAUGCACUUAUCCUUGAAAGUGACACACUGACUGCCCCUACACAUAUGCAUGCAUCUUGUAACCACACAAUAUAGCUUGAAUUUUUCUUUUAAAGUUAGCAACAUCCACCCCUCCCCUCCACUAAUGUUUGAAUGCAAACACUCUAUUGUCUACCAACACCUGAAGAUUAGCUGGAAGGGGCAAAUAUUACAGACCUCCCUGCUGCCUUUGUAGACCUUUCAACAUUGUCCUCACAGGAACUGAGAAAGCAGGAGAGCCCGCUCUAGUUUAUGACCUGAGGCACCAGAGAGGAAGUAGCAGAAAAUCCUUUUCUUUCUCUUUUCCUUUUUUUUUUUUUUUUUAAUUUACUUUUAUUUUUUGGUUUGUUUUGAGAUAGGGUCUCACUGUGUAGCCCUGGCUGUCCUGGAAUGCACUAUGUAGACUAGGCUAGCCUCUAAAGAGAUCUGCUUGCCUCUGCCUCCCAAGUGCUGGGAUUAAAGGCGUGUGCCACUAGCCUGGCAUAGCAGCAGAUUCUUGCUGGUUUCUUAUGCUUACAUCAGGGAGGAACCCCUUAGGACACGAGUGAGACAUUGAACUGAAUAUCACGUGUCUCACCUGACUCCUCUUUUUCACCAACAUCGCCUAAAGCAGUGCUUCUCAGCCUUCCUAAUGCUGCGGCCCUUUAAUACAGUUCCUCAUGUUGUGCUGACCCCAACCAUAAAAUUGUUUUUGUUGCUACUUCAUAACUGUAAAUUUUUUACUGUUAAGAGUCAUAAUGUAAAUAUCUGAGUUUUCCCAUGGUCUUGGUAGCCCUCAAAGGGGUCUCAACCCACAAGUUGAGAACUGCUGUCUUAUAGUGACUUUCUCUUUUCUUUUCAACUCUUGUUUCCCCGACUCCUUUUCUUCCUGGCCAUGUUUCUAGCCCCCAGGUGGCAGCUAAAACUUACGGCCAAAUAUUCUUACUGCCUCCUGUUUAUUGUGGCCUUACUCUUAUCUGUGUAUUUUUAAUACUUACUGGCAGGAAAGGUGGCAUUUUUCUCCACUUUCUUUGAUGCCUCUUCCUUAUAAGUUUGCAGAACCUUAGUCUAAUCCAAAGUUGCUAUUUGUCUUUCUUGAUUGUAGUGGCUCAGUCUUUUACAGCCCUUUGUUUAGGGUCUGUCAGUAAUGAACAUUCUGCACUGUUGGAGCACCUGAUAUGAUUACUUGGUCAAACUGAUUUGAAAGGUCAUUAUCCAGAGGAAAUGGGAGUAUGGCCUAAACCACAAAUAAUUUAAGAUGUUGACUAAAAGAGCCAGCUGUAGCCAACUCUCCUGGGCAUUUCCCUUCAUAGAAUAGAUAAAAACUGGUUUCUGAAUGGUAAGACAGUCAAAGGAGGUUUUCAUUUGGCAAGUGUUGUUUAUUUACUAUCCCGUGUAGUAACUUCACCUCCUCCAUAGAGCUUCUUAGAGAACAAAGCUCUUACAUUCCCACACCUCCACAGAAAUAGGCAGGGAGAAGCUCCAUAUGCUGGUGCCCCUGGUUAUUGUAAAAAGGACCAUGUGACUGUAUGGGACGAGCCCCCGGGCCCUGUGUAGCUAGGCCCUGUGGCCCUUCAGGAGCCAUGCUGCUGCUUGAAUAGCUGCACUUGAGCUUUGGUUUUAUGUUUGUUCCUCUUCCUUUGAUAAUCAAGCGUAACUUGGUAUUUUGAAGAUCUGACUGUCCUUGGGCCUGCUCCAUCUCCCCUUUUAAGUUUUUAAACCUUUGUUCUCAUUAUCUCAUUUGAGCCCAUAAUUUCUCUACCUUGGCCUGCUUUCCCCAUAUACUAGAACUUUGUAUUACUAAGGGGCGAGAACAGUUCACAUUUCAAAGUUUUUACUGGAUUCCCAUAAGAAGAAGCGCAGCAUGACCAGAGAAGGAUCUAGAUACUGAGAAAGUACCAUGGUCACUGUUACUAGGCAGUCAAGAAAGAGAUGGGAGCUGGCUCUCAGGAUGCAGACACUAAGAACUACUACUUAUUUUUCCUGGCUUUGGAUAAGCAGGGCACCAAUACCUGUCUCUCCCUCUGCUUUGAGUAAGUAGAAAACUGCUUGCCUUUCCAUCCCAUUGCUACGUAAGGGCAGGCCUGCACGGGGCAGGUGAGGCUUCUCUACAUUUCAGAUGGCCUCCCAUAUUAGGGGACAUGGUUCCCACGCUUGCCUUGUACAUAUACGACUGCCAUAUGUAUCACGGAACUACUGACAUUUGCAGCCACCGUUCAGUCCCAUUUUCCUAAGUGGCUCUCUUGGCCUUUUCAUCACACCACUUCUUUUUCUUGUCUGCUACCUGGUGUUUCCCUUUAAACACUGAUCCCUUUUGGCUUGCUUCUCCUGGAUUUAGUAAUCCUGGUCCUGGGCAGUGGUCUGGCAUGCAGGAGGCAUUGCCAGCCCUAAGGCAGGAAGAGCUAGAAGUCAAAUACCAGGUUAUUACCUGAUUCUCUGACCUGAAGCUCAGGGCAGCCAAGAGCCUUUUGGGGGAUUUAAAUUCUUACCUUUACUCCAAGGAAGUCCAGAGCACUCAACAUCUCUUCCCAGGCUGACCAAAAUGUGCAUGCUAGGGCCGUGCAAAUCUGGCCCUCUGCCAGUUGUUUGCAAAUAAAGUUUUGUUGAAGAAU